rnacentral:rRNA from 1 species
UAUCCAUUGGAGGGCAAGUCUGGUGCCAGCAGCUGCGGUAAUACCAGCUCCAAUAGCGUAUAUUAAAGUUGUUGCAGUUAAAAAGCUCGUAGUUGGACUUGUGUGCGCUGUCCGCGGGUGGCCUGCGCCCAAAAGGGCGUUUCGGUUCGGCCCCGGUGGCGCCUUGAAAUCUGCAGCUGGGGGGACGUUGGCCUUAACUGGUCGGCGACCGCACGCCGGCUGCUCGGUUACUGUGAGAAAAUUAGAGUGUCCAAGGCAGGCAUUGGGUGCAAUUGAAUACAUUAGCAUGGAAUAAUAAAAUAUGGCUCCUGCCGUAUUUUGUUGGUUUUGACUGGUGGGAGUAAUGAUUGAUAGGGACGGUUGGGGGUGCUAGUAUUGAGCGGCCAGAGGUGAAAUUCAUGGAUUCGCUCAAGACUAACUUAUGCGAAAGCAUUCACCAAGGACGUCCUCUUUAAUCAAGAACGAAAGUUGGGGGAUCGAAGACGAUCAGAUACCGUCGUAGUCUCAACCAUAAACUAUGUCGACUUGGGAUCGGCGGUAGUUUUUUCAUUAAGACACUGUCGGGACCACGGGAGAAAUCAAAGUGUCUGGACUCUGGGGGAAGUAUGGUCGCAAGGCUGAAACUUGAAGGAAUUGACGGAAGGGCACCACCAGGAGUGGAGCCUGCGGCUUAAUUUGACACAACACGGGGAAACUUACCAGGUCCAGAGAUGUAGAGGAUUGACAGAUUGAAGCUCUUUCUUGAUCACUUCGGUGGUGGUGCAUGGCCGUUCUUAGUUGGUGGAGUGAUUUGUCUGGUUAAUUCCGUUAACGAACGAGACCUCAGCCUGCUAGUGUAGUCGGCUGGAUUGCCUUUGGCGAUCCGUGAUUUCGACUUCUUAGAGGGACAAUCGACGCGCAGUCGAUGGAAGUUUGAGGCAAUAACAGGUCUGUGAUGCCCUUAGAUGUUCUGGGCCGCACGCGCGCUACACUGCUGGGCUCAGCGAGUUUUACUUGGCCGAGAGGCCCGGUUAAUCUUGUGAAAUCCCAGCGUGCUUGGGCUCGCCUCCUGCAACUGGAGGCGCCAACGAGGAAUUCCUAGUAGACGCAGGUCGUCAACCUGCAUCGAUUACGUCCCUGCCCUUUGUACACACCGCCCGUCGUUCCAUAAGAGUGAGGCAUCCGGUGAAUUCUCGGGAGAGCCUGGGCGUGGCCAGCAAUGGUCUGCUCGGGUUUGAACUUGCAUAAACUUGGUGCCUAUGAUUAGGG